rnacentral:rRNA from 1 species
CCUACGGGGGGCUGCAGUGGGGAAUCUUGCGCAAUGGCCGAAAGGCUGACGCAGCGACGCCGCGUGGAGGAUGACGCCCUUCGGGGUGUAAACUCCUGUUGCCCGGGACGAAUGCCCCUUUUGAGGGGAGUGACGGUACCGGGUGAGGAAGCACCGGCUAACUCUGUGCCAGCAGCCGCGGUAAUACAGAGGGUGCGAGCGUUGUCCGGAAUCACUGGGCGUAAAGGGCGCGUAGGCGGCUCGGUAAGCGUGUGGUGAAAGCCCGGGGCUCAACCCCGGGUCGGCCAUGCGAACUGUCGAGCUGGAGCACGGUAGAGGCACAUGGAAUUCCGGGUGUAGCGGUGGAAUGCGUAGAGAUCCGGAAGAACACCGGUGGCGAAGGCGGUGUGCUGGGCCGUAGCUGACGCUGAGGCGCGACAGCGUGGGGAGCAAACAGGAUUAGAUACCCCAGUAGUC